UACGUAGGGCGCAAGCGUUGUCCGGAAUUAUUGGGCGUAAAGAGCUCGUAGGCGGCCUGUUGCGUCCGCUGUGAAAUCCCGGGGCUCAACCCCGGGCGUGCAGUGGAUACGGGCUGGCUGGAGGCAGGCAGGGGAGAACGGAAUUCCUGGUGUAGCGGUGAAAUGCGCAGAUAUCAGGAGGAACACCGGUGGCGAAGGCGGUUCUCUGGGCCUGUACUGACGCUGAGGCACGAAAGCGUGGGGAGCAAACAGG
rnacentral:rRNA from 1 species